GACGAACGCUGGCGGCGUGCCUAAUACAUGCAAGUAGAACGCACAGUUUAUACCGUAGCUUGCUACACCAUAGACUGUGAGUUGCGAACGGGUGAGUAACGCGUAGGUAACCUGCCUGGUAGCGGGGGAUAACUAUUGGAAACGAUAGCUAAUACCGCAUAAUAUUGAUUAUUGCAUGAUAAUUAAUUGAAAGGUGCAAUUGCACCACUACCAGAUGGACCUGCGUUGUAUUAGCUAGUAGGUGAGGUAACGGCUCACCUAGGCGACGAUACAUAGCCGACCUGAGAGGGUGAUCGGCCACACUGGGACUGAGACACGGCCCAGACUCCUACGGGAGGCAGCAGUAGGGAAGCUUCGGCAAUGGACGAAAGUCUGACCGAGCAACGCCGCGGGAGUGAAGAAGGUUGUCGGAUCGUAAAGCUCUGUUGUAAGAGAAGAACGGGUGUGAGAGUGGAAAGUUCACACUGUGACGGUAUCUUACCAGAAAGGGACGGCUAACUACGUG
rnacentral:rRNA from 1 species